GCCAGGCUUGGUGGCACAUGCCUGUAAUCCAGGUGACUCAGGAGGUUGAGGCAGGAGGAUCGCAUAUUCAAGGCCAACCUCAGGUACUUAGGAUAACCUGCCUCAA
rnacentral:sRNA from 1 species